rnacentral:rRNA from 1 species
UACGAAGGGGGCUAGCGUUGUUCGGAAUUACUGGGCGUAAAGGGCGCGUAGGCGGACAGUUAAGUUGGGGGUGAAAGCCCGGGGCUCAACCUCGGAAUUGCCUUCAAUACUGGCUGUCUUGAGUAUGAGAGAGGUGUGUGGAACUCCGAGUGUAGAGGUGAAAUUCGUAGAUAUUCGGAAGAACACCAGUGGCGAAGGCGACACACUGGCUCAUUACUGACGCUGAGGCGCGAAAGCGUGGGGAGCAAACAGG